rnacentral:rRNA from 1 species
GUAAUUGAGAGUUUGAUCCUGGCUCAGGACGAACGCUGGCGGCGUGCUUAACACAUGCAAGUUGAACGGGCAGAUAUGGAAGCUUGCUGAAGUAUCUGUUAGUAGCGGACGGGUGAGUAAUGCAUGAGGAGCUGUCAUAGGGAGGGGGACAACAGUUGGAAACGGCUGCUAAUACCCCGUAUGCCGGAAGGUGAAAGGGAGCGAUCCGCCCGAUGAGGUACUCAUGUCCUAUCAGCUGGUUGGUGGGGUAACGGCCUACCAAGGCGACGACGGGUAGCCGGCCUGAGAGGGUGAACGGCCACACUGGAACUGAGAUACGGUCCAGACUCCUACGGGAGGCAGCAGUGGGGAAUAUUGGGCAAUGGGGGGAACCCUGACCCAGCGACGCCGCGUGAGGGAAGACGGCCUUCGGGUUGUAAACCUCUUUUGUACGGGAAGAAGGAAGUGACGGUACUGUACGAAUAAGUCCCGGCUAACUACGUGCCAGCAGCCGCGGUAAUACGUAGGGGACGAGCGUUGUCCGGAAUUACUGGGCGUAAAGGGCGCGUAGGCUGUGCUGCAAGUCAGCUGUGAAAUAUCUGGGCUUAACCUGGAUAUGCGGAUGAGACUGCAGUGCUGGAGUGCUGUAGAGGCAAGUGGAAUUCCCAGUGUAGCGGUGAAAUGCGUAGAUAUUGGGAAGAACACCGGUGGCGAAGGCGACUUGCUGGGCAGCAACUGACGCUGAGGCGCGAAAGCCAGGGGAGCGAACGGGAUUAGAUACCCCGGUAGUCCUGGCCGUAAACGAUGAAUGCUAGGUGUGGGUGUAGAGAUACAUUCGUGCCGGAGUUAACGCGAUAAGCAUUCCGCCUGGGGAGUACGGUCGCAAGAUUGAAACUCAAAGGAAUUGACGGGGGCCCGCACAAGCGGUGGAGCACGUGGUUUAAUUCGAUGCAAACCGAAGAACCUUACCUGGGUUUGACAUGUACGUGGUACGGAUCUGAAAGGUGAAGGACUCUGCUUUCGGGCGGGGAGCGUACACAGGUGCUGCAUGGCUGUCGUCAGCUCGUGUCGUGAGAUGUUGGGUUAAGUCCCGCAACGAGCGCAACCCUUGCUGCCAGUUGCCAACGGGUAAUGCCGGGCACUCUGGCGGGACUGCCAUCGACAAGAUGGAGGAAGGUGGGGAUGACGUCAAGUCAUCAUGGCCCUUAUGUCCAGGGCGACACACGUGCUACAAUGGUCGGCACAGCGGGAAGCGAGGCAGUGAUGCCGAGCGGAUCCCUUAAAGCCGGUCUCAGUUCGGAUUGAAGUCUGCAACUCGACUUCAUGAAGCUGGAAUCGCUAGUAAUCGCAGAUCAGCCAAGCUGCGGUGAAUACGUUCCCGGGCCUUGUACACACCGCCCGUCACACCACCCGAGUUGGGUGCACCCGAAGCCGGCGGCCUAACCAGUAAUGGAAGGAGCUGUCGAAGGUGUGUCUGGUGAGGGGGGUGAAGUCGUAACAAGGUAGCCGUACCGGAAGGUGCGGCUGGAUCACCUCCUUU